rnacentral:misc_RNA from 1 species
UUAACUAUUUUAUAGUACUCAGACGACACUAACAUUCAGAGUUUUAGGGUCCUCUGGCGGGUGCACCGAGAAAAACUCAGGGACCCGCCAAAGCAACAUAUAAUGAUAUUUACAAGGGUGGGAGAUCUACCCGUGAGGGCAUGAACUCUGUAAUGAUCCUUCCGCAGGUUCACCUACGGAAA